rnacentral:lncRNA from 1 species
CUUCCUGUUAUGUAUAUAUUAUAUUCAAUAUCUCAUAUAUAGACAUAAGUUAGGUUAUGUAAUGACAUGUUGAAAAUUGUUAGUAUUUAAAAGUUUAAACAAUGGAUCUAAAUAAAAUAUAAUUUAUAUCAAAAUUUAUUUUAGUUGGUUGAUAUGUGGACAAUGGAACUAUAGUACUUGUUUGGGCUUGAUGUUUAAUACUUUGAGUGUGUUAUUGAUUGUAUGCUUGUUGUGAAUGGUUGCUAUCUAAUAUAUUUGGUUAUUUUCAUGAGCUACUGUCGGACUCUACUGGAAUAGUAAGUUGUUGGCUAAAAUAACUAUUCAUACAUCGUGCAGGUAUUUUAGCUAGAUAUUUAUAUGGUAU